rnacentral:rRNA from 1 species
CGGGGUGCACCAGGCGCGAAAACUUUGCAAUGCGGGAAACCGUGACAAGGGAACUCUGAGUGCCCGUUAAAUCGGGCUGUCCAUCGGUUUAAAUAACCGGUGAAGAAAGGGCCGGGCAAGACCGGUGCCAGCCGCCGCGGUAAUACCGGCGGCUCGAGUGGUGGCCACUAUUACUGGGCUUAAAGCGUUCGUAGCUGGUUUGUUAAGUCUCUGGGGAAAUCUUCCGGCUUAACCGGAAGGCGUCUCAGGGAUACUGGCAGACUAGGGACCGGGAGAGGUGAGAGGUACUCCAGGGGUAGGAGUGAAAUCCUGUAAUCCUUGGGGGACCACCUGUGGCGAAGGCGUCUCACCAGAACGGCUCCGACAGUGAGGGACGAAAGCUGGGGGAGCAAACCGGAUUAGAUACCCGGGUAGUCCCAGCUGUAAACGAUGUGCGUUAGGUGUAUCGGUGACCACGAGUCACCGAGGUGCCGAAGAGAAAUCGUGAAACGUACCGCCUGGGAAGUACGGUCGCAAGGCUGAAACUUAAAGGAAUUGGCGGGG